rfam:Oryza glaberrima chromosome 7 Oglab07_0089_14, whole genome shotgun sequence.
AUUCCAUGAUAAGGACGGGCAGUGACGUAUUCCUGCAGCCUUUCCCAGGCUUCAAGAAUGGUUUCAUCCCUCGUCCGCUGCAAACUGGAUAUUCUUCCACGAAGAGC